UACCCCAGCUCCAGUCUGUGCCAGAGCUGAAAACCCCAGGUCCUUCCUCCAUUUAGAGAAGUCAAAGCAGACGGGCAAGACUGGGUGUUGGACAGGGUCCAUCCCCCUGCAGAGUCCCGUGUGCACUCAGAGACCCAGUUUGCUGGACUGGCUUAGGGAGCCACCUAAGGCAUGUUCUGUGGGGCAGGAGGAGCGUGGCGUGGGCUGGCAGCUGCUCUGUGAGAAGCAGACCCUGAGGACCCUCAGGCCCACAGUGCGGCUUCACCCCCUUGGCUUCCUCUCUGUGGCUCCACGGAUUAUUUCUUUUCUUCUUUAGGGAGGACAGGAUUGGAGAGCUGAGGGCGGGGAGCCCUGAUUUAUCUCUCACUAGUGAUAAGACAAGGUUAUCUGGGAGCCAUGCUCAUUGGUCAGCCACUACCCAACAAGUCAGAUGGUAUGAUACAGGUAAAGUGCCCGCGUGGCCCACGGCAUCAGUAACUGGCAGCUAUUUGGAUGACUUGACUGUGGUGGUUGGGGUAGGCUGAAUAAUGCUCUCCCAAGCCCCAGGAUGUCCACCUCCCCACCUAUGAUGUGUGAGUAUUUACUGUAUUAGUUUCCUACAGCUGCUGUAACAAAAUACCACAGACUGAGUGGCUUCACAACAGAAAUCUAUUCUCGUACAGUUGUGGAGGCUGGGGUCCAAGAUCAAGGUGUCAGCAGGUGAGGAUUCUUCUGGGACCAACCUCCUCAGCUUAUAGAUGGUGUCUUCUCCCUGCAUCUGCAUGAGGGCUCUCCUGUGUGUUUCUGGGUCCUGAUCUCCUUGUCUUUUUUUAAAAAAAUACUUUUUAGCUAUAGAUAGACACAAUACCUUUAUUUUAUUUUUUUUAUGUGGUGCUGAGAAUUGAAUCCAGUGCCUUACACAUGCUAGGCAAGUGCUCUACCACUUGCCUAGCAACAACCCCAGGCCCAACCUCCCCAUCUUUUAAGCAGGAUAGUUCACAUUGGGGCUCACUCUUAAUGUUAUAUGCUAUGGGUUUGGAAAAAUAUAUAUGGCACUAGUAACCACAAUUGUAGUGUUAUUCAGAAGAGCUUCCCUGCCUGUUCUCUCUGUAUUAGUGUGGAGAGUUAGGGCGGAUUGUGUUAUUUAAGGAACUGACCCAUAGAUUUGUUCACAGUCUUCCUUUAUUAUCGCUCUAAUGUCCAGGGUUCUGCAGUGAUGGUCCCUUCUUUCAUUUCUGAUAUUAGUAGUUUGGGUCAUCUAACUGAUGUUCUUCAUUAGCCCAUAAGAUCAUCAAUUUUAUUGAUCUUUUCCAAGAAUCACCUUUUGGUUUUAUUGAUUUUUCUCUGUUAAUUUCCUGUCUUCAAUUUUAUUGAUUUUAGCUCUAACCUUUAUUAUUUCUCUUCUGCUUACUUUGGAUUUAGUUUCAAAAGAAAACAAGAAAAAUGUAUUAAUUUCAGUCGAAGCAGAUUUUGGAACAAGGGAAGUUGUCAGGGAUGAAGAGGGAAGUUACAAAAUGAUAAAGUGGUCAAUUCUCCAGAGAAGAAUUGAGCCACAACCCCAGGCCCAAACUCUUUCUAGUUUGGGAAGGUCUAAGCUUAGAUUAUUGAUUCUAGGUCUUUCUUCUUCUCCUGUGUAAAUAUGUUCAAUGCCAUAUUCAUAUAGUUCCCUAUAAGCCCUCUUUCACUGUAUCCCAAAACUGUGAUAAGUUGUAUUUUCAUCUUUAUUUAACUAAAAAUAUAUUUUUUAAAAAAUUACUCUUGAGAUUUUUUUCUUUAGCCCAGGUGCUGUUUAGAAGUAUGUUGUUUAAACUCCAAGUAUUUGGGGGAUUUUCCAGCCAUCUUCCUUCUGUUAUAAUUUACAGUUUAAUUCCUCUCUGUUCUGAGAACGGUACUGUAUGACUUCUACUCUUUUAAAUUUGCUAAGGUGUGUGUUAUAGCCCAGAAUGUGGUCCAUCUUGGCAAAAUCUCCAUGUGGACUGAGAAGAAUGUGGACUGUGCUGUGUUGGAUGGAGCUGGCUGUAGACGUCAAUCACAUCCUGUUGAUUGAAGGUGCUGUUGAGUUUAACCAUGCACUUAGACUGAUCUUCUACCUGCCAUGGGUUAAAGUUUCAAACUAUAAUAGUGGAUCCAUAUAAUUCUGGUUCUAUCCCUUCUUCCUCUCAUCGUCUUUUGCUUAUUGUUCGGUGCAUACCCACUAAAGGUUGUUGUGUCCUCUGGAGAAUUGACCUCUUUACCAUUUUGUAACUUCCUUCUUCAUCCCUGACAACUUCCCUUGCUCCCAAAUCUGCUUCGACUGAAAUUAAGACAUUUCUCUUGUCUUCUUUUGAUAGUGUUAGCAUGGUGCAUCUUUCUCCACAUCUUUACUUUUAAUCUCUAUGCCUUUACAUUUAAAGAGGCUUUUUUUUUUUAAGAUAAUAUAGAACUAGGUCUGGUUUUCCCAUCACUCUGGUAAUCUUGGUCUUUAUUUGGUGUAUCCAGACAGCUGAUGUUUAAAGUGAUCACUGAUAAAGCUGGACUAAUAUCUAUCAUAUUUGCUAUUGUUUUUUAUUUCUUAUCCUUUUUCUUUGUCCCUAUUUUGUCUUCACACUUUUUCUUCCCUUUGGGGAUUUUGAUUGGGCAUUUUGUGUAAUUCUAUUUGCUACUUACCUUAAGGCCAGAAAGCAAAAGAUAGGGAAGGGAAGGGCCUAAGGUUCCACUCUCCCCUUCAAGGACACACUCCCAGUGACCCAAGACCUCCCUGAAGUUCCACUCCUCAAGGUCCCACCACCUUGCAAUAGCACUACCUGCUGGACACGGAGUCUGUGACACCAGGCUUUUGGUGGACGUUCCACGUUGAAACCAGAGCGACCUUUGGUUUUCUGAAGUGUGACUAUGAAUGACAUGCCUCGGUGGAUUUGUUUGGGGUAUUUCUCCCACAUGGUGUUCUCUGAGCUUCCUGGAACCGUGAUUUGGUGACAUUAACUUUGGGAUUCAUUGUUGCUUCAAAUAUUGCUUUUGCUCCUGACUCUCUUUUCCCUCUAGAGUUCUCACUGCACAUGUGACACCUUCAUAGUUAUCCUACAGCAUGCUUCUCUUUGGUUCUCCAUUUGGGAAAUUUACAUUAAUAUACCUUAAGUUCAGAGAUUUUCCUCCGUAGUUUUCAGUCUAUUAGUGCCCCCAUAGAGGGCAUUUUUCUUUCUUUUACAACAUUUUUAUCUCUAACACUUCUUUUUGAUUUUUCCAUCUUUCUGAUUACAUUACCCAUCUGUUCUUGCAUGUUAUUUUUUUCCAUUUAAGCCUUUAGCAUAUUAAUAAUAAUCUUGAAAUAUUAUUUGCUAUCACUUGAAAGUCCCUCCAAAAUUCAUACUGAAAUUUAAUUGUCAUUGUGAUGAGGAGAUGAGACCUCUAAACGGUUGUUAGGUCAUGAAAAUAUCAACCUUAUAAAUGAGACAAAGCUGUUAUCACAGAAGUUGAGUUAGUUAUAAAAGAGGCAUUUGGCCUGAUCUCUUGCCAUGUGUUGCCUUCUAUCAUGUUAUGAUACAUCAGAAAGGUCCUCACCAGAUGCCAUCUCUCAAUCUUGGACUUACUGGCUUCAGAACCAUAAGCCAAAAAAAAUUUUUUUCUUAUAAUUUGUCCAGUCUGUGCAUUCUGUUAUAGUGGCAGAAAAAAAAACUAAACCACUAAAACUUAAAUCUGAUAAUUCUAAUAUCCCUGCAAUAUCUGACUCUGAUUCUGAAGUUUUUUUCACUCUAUUCAAAGUGUGUGUGUAUGUGUGUGUGUGUGUGUGUGUGCCUCUUUUUCCGCUUGGUGUACUUUGACAUUAAAUGAUAGACAUGAUGUUGUAGGGAGGGGUGUUCACUGUGCAGGCCUGGUAGAGGUUAGAGGUUUGGAGAUAAAGCUCACAAGUAGUGUGGGGGUACACCUGUGCCUAUGAGGGGUCCCUGGAGUUUUUGAUCCUCAAACUUCACCAUCCUAAGCCUCCAGCAAUUUGUCAAUUACAGUUCAGUUUUUCCUAAGCAUGUGGAUUCCUGCUAUGUUGAGUCAGGACUCUUUGUACCCACUGGUCUCUCUCUCCUUUGAGGAACAUAAGUCUGCCUGUGACCUAAUUUUUCUAAUGGAUUUAAGAGUUGAUUUUUAGUCAUUCCACUUUUUUUUUUUUACUUUUUGCUAAGAAGAGUGGCAAUUUCUAAGCUGCUUACAUGUUGGACCAGAAAAUCUGAGCUCUUAUUUUAAAAAGGAAUUCCUCCUGGUCAGCAGUCCAGGGUUCAGCCAGGGUGAGCCUAUUGGCAAGUCAAGUAUCGACUGAAAACCUGACCAUUAACUCUAUUAGCAUAGCCACAUUCAAACAGUACUUCAGAAGUGAGUAGAGAUCAUUUGAAAUAAACUAGACUUGCAUAACAAACAGCACCAAAGGAGAGCAGAGGGAAGAUUCAGCUCAUUUUAAUACUGGCAAAAGAGACAGUGAAAAAUAAGUGUUGGAUGUUUUGUGAAUUUGGUUCACCGAAGGGUAAUAACUGAAGUAAUCUGCUGCCAGGAUGUAAAGGAAGGAAACCAGACACAAACAUUACCACCCAAACCACUUUCCAGAUCGUGAGGUGCCAGGAGGCCCUGCAAAGUGGACCUGAAGGUGGAGUCAAAUGAGGGGAAGGUGUGGGCUGGGGGUAAACAUGCAAACCCAAGCAUUUGAGAAGUUUGGGGGUCAAGGACCUGAGGCUUCUCCCAUGACCUAUCACUGUUCUGUACAAAUCAAUACGGUUGGCAAAUCAGCCACAACAAGCAGGUUCCGGUGACUUCUCUCCUUUGGCCUGUUGACAUCUCCCAAAAGACUGGACCUUACCCUGGGGAACGCAUUCUUUUGCAGGGUGAGCUGAGGAAAGAAGUGAGGACGGCAGCCACUGGAGGACCCACGGUGGACAGGACACUCCUGCUCUUCUAGGGAGGAAACAGCACAGGACAGGCACUGUGGGGUGGAAGCUGUUUACAGUAUGUCUGUGACCCUGUCUCAUGGGGUUCCUGGGUGGAGGGUACAACUUCUCUGUCUCCAGUGUCUCAUGAGCACCUGUUUUGAGCUUAAUGUUUGUGUCACAAAAUUCACAUGUUGAAGUUCUAAUUACUAAUUUGCAGGUGGGACUUUGGGGAGGUAAAUGGGCUCAGUAAAGUUAUGAGGGUGGGGCCCCCAUGAUGGGAUUAGUGACUUUAUAAGAAGAGGAACCAGGACUUGCUCUCUCCAUUGUGUCUUCACACAGUAAAAAGGCAGCCACCUGCCACCAGGAAGAGAGCUCUCACCAGGGAUCCUAGACUUCCCAGACUCCAGAACUGUGAGAAACACUUGUCUGUGGUUCAGGCUGCACAUCUAUGGCAUUUUGUUACAGCAGCAGAAGCUGUAACAAGCGGACUAAACAUCAGUUUUGUUCUGUCUUUGGGAGCCCCCUGGAGUUCAUGUCAAUAUGAGUCUUCAACUCUGUGAGCUGCUUGGAUGGGUGGCUGCAGCUGCUACCAUAGCAACUGUGUCUGGGCCUCUGACCACGCAACGCCACCUACAGACUGUGUUUCGAUUCAACCUCAACCUCGGCCUCCUCCACCAGAUGCCUAGGAGCACGGCUUCCUCACUCCGAUUCUCCUUCUCUGCAAGCAGUCGGAUAUGGCAGGGUGUUGAGGAAAUAGAGUAGGAAAGGAAGCAGAAGUCUGGAAAACUCAGAGUUGACCCAUCUGUUCAUUUGCAAAUGAACAGAUUUUGAAUCUAGCUUGGUUUUAAAAGUCUAGAACUUGGCGACUCUGCAGAGGAAAUAUUCUAUAGGGUCAGUCUAGCUUGCCUUGUCCACUUCCCUUACACACCUUCUGCACACCACUAACACCCCGUGGCUGCUAAGAUAUGAGAAAACACUCUGUGAAAUCAUUCUUGUGAUCAAAAUUAAACGUCUUGUUGCAAUCUGGAGAGGAAAGUAACAGAGUGGAGUCAGCCCCUGUGAGAACUGACCGUCCAGCCCUUCCCACACACGGUGACCUGGGUCAGGGAGGAACAACGUGACAUGUGACACGUUGGCAACAGACCUACUGAGACACUCCAGGGAUGGAAACCAAAGAAGAACAUUAAAUAUUUGAAUUCUGGGCAAUUUUUAAUCCCCAGCUGUGAAGGGACAGGAGAGCAAACACUGUCUAUAGAACCAAGGGCACAUUCCUGGGGGCCCCAAGAAUGCCACUCGGUUCUUCUGGUUACUGCUGAUUCGCAGUGGAAGCCUCUCCCACAGGUGGCUCCAGUCACACCUGCCUCUGGAGAGGGGCCAUAAAGAGGCCAACAUUUUUCUGCUGUAAGCAUCGCAGUCACACAAUGACACUUUUAUGGAGAUGUCUGUCACUGUGUUUAUCUUAUACUGUGACUUCUAUCAAGAUGAGAGCCAAAAGGGAAUCCUAGCAUUCCUUGAGCCCACAAUUGAGGGCAGGUGUGUACCACUCAAAAAAAAAAGAAAGAAAAAAAAUAAAUUCCACAAGUUCACUUUGUUUUACAAAAAAAUUACCUAAAUUCUGACCUGAAGGAAUUAGGUCAUGUUUGUUCUUGGAGACAGCGUCAGUGGAGGGUACAGAGCACCUGGGUCCCAUGGCCUCAGUGCAUCUUCAUGAGGUCUCUGUUGCUGGCAACAGCUUCAUGUGGCCAUGUCCCCACCCAGUUCCAUAAGGAGGCCGGGGGUGUCUGCUGUGCCCUGAGCUGUACUCAGUGGUGGUGUUGGCUCUCACAAUCCCAACACACAAGUUUCAGAACAAUUCCAACAAUCCUGUCACCAGGCAUUCCUGACACAGCCCAGCAUUCUCCUAGGUCAACAAUCACUGC
rnacentral:lncRNA from 1 species